AUCACUUCUCGGCCUUUUGGUUAAGAUCAUGUGCAGUGUCUGUUGUCAGUUUUAAUAUCUGAUAUGUCCCUGAAUUAGGAGUAAAUAUUAAUCUGAUUUUUGCAGGAAUGUGUUUGAUCUUUGAGCUUGCUCCAUUUACUUCGCACAUCAUCCUGGUAUUGCAGCAUUUCUGGGAAUGGUGCAUCCCAC